rnacentral:rRNA from 1 species
AUUGAACGCUGGCGGAAUGCUUUACACAUGCAAGUCGAACGGCAGCACGGGGCAACCUGGCGGCGAGUGGCGAACGGGUGAGUAAUGUAUCGGAACGUAUCCUGUAAUGGGGGAUAACCAGUCGAAAGAUUGGGUAAUACCGCAUACGCACGAGAGUGGAAAGUAGGGGAUCGCAAGACCUUACGUUAUAGGAGCGGCCGAUAUCUGAUUAGCUAGUUGGUGGGGUAAAGGCCUACCAAGGCGACGAUCAGUAGCUGGUCUGAGAGGACGACCAGCCACACUGGGACUGAGACACGGCCCAGACUCCUACGGGAGGCAGCAGUGGGGAAUUUUGGACAAUGGGCGAAAGCCUGAUCCAGCCAUGCCGCGUGCAGGAAGAAGGCCUUCGGGUUGUAAACUGCUUUAGUCUAGGAAAAAGGGGUGCGAGGUUAAUACCCUCGUGCUUUGACGGUACUGGAAGAAUAAGCACCGGCUAACUACGUG